UACGAAGGGGGCUAGCGUUGUUCGGAAUUACUGGGCGUAAAGGGCGCGUAGGCGGUUGCUCAAGUCAGGCGUGAAAGCCCCGGGCUCAACCUGGGAAUAGCGCUUGAGACUGGGCGGCUUGAGUUCGGGAGAGGUGAGUGGAAUUCCCAGUGUAGAGGUGAAAUUCGUAGAUAUUGGGAAGAACACCGGGUGGCGAAGGCAGAUCUCUGGGCCGUAACUGACGCUGAGGAGCGAAAGCAUGGGGAGCGAACAGG
rnacentral:rRNA from 1 species